rnacentral:rRNA from 1 species
GGGGGAUAACGUGGUGAAAAUUACGCUAAUACCGCAUACGAUCUAAGGAUGAAAGCGGGGGAUCGCAAGACCUCGCGCGAUUGGAGCGGCCGAUAUCAGAUUAGGUAGUUGGUGAGGUAAAGGCUCACCAAGCCAACGAUCUGUAGCUGGUCUGAGAGGACGACCAGCCACACUGGAACUGAGACACGGUCCAGACUCCUACGGGAGGCAGCAGUGGGGAAUUUUGGACAAUGGACGCAAGUCUGAUCCAGCCAUUCCGCGUGCAGGACGAAGGCCUUCGGGUUGUAAACUGCUUUUGUACAGAACGAAAAGGUCUCUAUUAAUACUAGGGGCUCAUGACGGUACUGUAAGGAUAAGCACCGGCUAACUACGUGCCAGCAGCCGCGGUAAUACGUAGGGUGCAAGCGUUAAUCGGAAUUACUGGGCGUAAAGCGUGCGCAGGCGGUUAUAUAAGACAGAUGUGAAAUCCCCGGGCUCAACCUGGGAACUGCAUUUGUGACUGUAUAGCUGGAGUGCGGCAGAGGGGGAUGGAAUUCCGCGUGUAGCAGUGAAAUGCGUAGAUAUGCGGAGGAACACCGAUGGCGAAGGCAAUCCCCUGGGCCUGCACUGACGCUCAUGCACGAAAGCGUGGGGAGCAAACAGGAUUAGAUACCCUGGUAGUCCACGCCCUAAACGAUGUCAACUGGUUGUUGGGUC